UCGAACGGUAAGGCCCCUUCGGGGGUACACGAGUGGCGAACGGGUGAGUAACACGUGAGUAACCUGCCCUUGACUCUGGGAUAACAUCUGGAAACAGGUGCUAAUACCGGAUAUUCAGCUUCCUCUGCAUGGGGGUUGUUGGAAAGCUCCGGCGGUCAAGGAUGGACUCGCGGCCUAUCAGCUUGUUGGUGAGGUAAUGGCUCACCAAGGCUCCGACGGGUAGCCGGCCUGAGAGGGCGACCGGCCACAUUGGGACUGAGAUACGGCCCAAACUCCUACGGGAGGCAGCAGUGGGGAAUAUUGCACAAUGGGCGCAAGCCUGAUGCAGCAACGCCGCGUGCGGGAUGACGGCCUUCGGGUUGUAAACCGCUUUCAUCCAUGACGAAGCGAGAGUGACGGUAGUGGAAGAAGAAGCACCGGCUAACUACGUGCCAGCAGCCGCGGUGAUACGUAGGGUGCGAGCGUUGUCCGGAUUUAUUGGGCGUAAAGAGCUUGUAGGCGGUUUGUCGCGUCGGGAGUGAAAACUCAGGGCUUAACCCUGAGCCUGCUUCCGAUACGGGCAGACUUGAGGAAGGUAGGGGAGAUUGGAAUUCCUGGUGAAGCGGUGGAAUGCGUAGAUAUCAGGAGGAACACCAGUGGCGAAGGCGGAUCUCUGGACCUUUCCUGACGCUGAGAAGCGAAAGCGUGGGGAGCAAACAGGCUUAGAUACCCUGGUAGUCCACGCCGUAAACGGUGGGUACUAGGUGUGGGGGACAUUCCACGUUCUCCGUGCCGCAGCUAACGCAUUAAGUACCCCGCCUGGGGAGUACGGCCGCAAGGCUAAAACUCAAAGGAAUUGACGGGGCCCCGCACAAGCGGCGGAGCAUGCGGAUUAAUUCGAUGCAACGCGAAGAACCUUACCUGGGUUUGACAUAUGCCGGAAACAUCUAGAGAUAGGUGCCCCUUUAUGGUCGGUAUACAGGUGGUGCAUGGCUGUCGUCAGCUCGUGUCGUGAGAUGUUGGGUUAAGUCCCGCAACGAGCGCAACCCUCGUCCUAUGUUGCCAGCGGGUAAUGCCGGGGACUCAUAGGAGACCGCCGGGGUCAACUCGGAAGAAGGWGGGGAAUGACGUCAAGUCAUCAUGCCCCCUUAUGUC
rnacentral:rRNA from 1 species